rnacentral:rRNA from 1 species
AGAGUUUGAUCAUGGCUCAGGACGAACGCUGGCGGCGUGGAUUAGGCAUGCAAGUCGAACGGUAUAAACCUUUCGGGGUUUAGAGAGUGGCGAACGGGUGAGUAACACGUAGGUAAUCUACCCUCAAAACGGGGACAACCCAGGGAAACUUGGGCUAAUACCGGAUGCGUGCAAGCAAUGUUUUGGCUGUUAAUGCUAUUCACGGAAGUGAGUAGUGUUAAUGGUUGAGAGCAUUAUUUGCAUAAAAGGUGGCAUAUGCUGCCGUUUGAGGGUGAGCCUGCAUCCUAUUAGUUAGUUGGUGAGGUAAUGGCUUACCAAGGCGAUGAUAGGUAGGCGGCCUUAACGGGUGGUCGCCCACACUGGGAUUGAGAGACGGCCCAGACUCCUACGGGAGGCAGCAGUCGAGAAUAGUCUACAAUGGACGGAAGUCUGAUAGUGCGACGCCGCGUGAACGAAGAAUCCCUUCGGGGUGUAAAGUUCUUUUAUACGUGAGCAGUGCCCUUUAUAUGAAUAGUAUAGAGGGAGGGAUUUAAGCGUAUGAAUAAGCAACGGCUAACUCCGUGCCAGCAGCCGCGGUAACACGGGGGUUGCAAGCGUUGUCCGGAAUUACUAGGCGUAAAGUGCAGGUAGGCGGAUAGAUAAGUUUAAGGUUAAAGGCUACGGCUUACCCGUAGUAAGGCGUUAGAUACUGUUUAUCUGGAAUGCGGUUGAGGGAGACAGAAUUCCUGGUGUAGCGGUGGAAUGCGCAGAGAUCAGGAGGAAUACCGAAGGCGAAAGCAGUCUUCUAAGCCGAUAUUGACGCUAAACUGCGAAGGUGUGGGGAUCAAACAGGAUUAGAUACCCUGGUAGUCCACACAGUAAACGAUAAUCACUAGGUGUUGGGUUCGUAUAGGACUCGGUGCCGGAGCUAACGCGAUAAGUGAUUCGCCUGGGGAGUACGAUCGCAAGGUUGAAACUCAAAUGAAUUGACGG